AGCGAACGCUGGCGGCAGGCUUAACACAUGCAAGUCGAGCGGGCACUUCGGUGUCAGCGGCAGACGGGUGAGUAACACGUGGGAACGUACCCUUCGGUUCGGAAUAACGCUGGGAAACUAGCGCUAAUACCGGAUACGCCCUUUUGGGGAAAGGUUUACUGCCGAAGGAUCGGCCCGCGUCUGAUUAGCUAGUUGGUGGGGUAAUGGCCUACCAAGGCGACGAUCAGUAGCUGGUCUGAGAGGAGGAACAGCCACACUGGGACUGAGACACGGCCCAGUCCCCCGGGGGAGGGGGCGGGGGGAAAUUGUGAACAAGGGGCGCAGGCCGGACCCACCCAUGCCGGGGGAGUAAGAAGGCCUUUGGGUUUUAAAACUUUUUUGUCCGGGGACGAAAAUGAGGGUACGGAAAAAAAAACCCCGGGCUACCUUCGUC
rnacentral:rRNA from 1 species